UUUAAAUUGAGAGUUUGAUCCUGGCUCAGGACGAACGCUGGCGGCGUGCCUAACACAUGCAAGUCGAGCGAUGAAGUCCCUUCGGGGAUGGAUUAGCGGCGGACGGGUGAGUAACACGUGGGCAACCUGCCUCAAAGUGGGGGAUAGCCCUCCGAAAGGAGGAUUAA
rnacentral:rRNA from 1 species